rnacentral:tRNA from 1 species
CAGGGAGGCAACACAAUGAUUUUGACGCCUUAGUGCUUUUAUUCUUAGGCCAAAAUCCUGUCACCUUAGGUCGAUCGGUACCUCAGCUUUGAAGUUAAGGAUCAGCAGCAAUGUUGAUUGCUUGAUGGAGAUUUUCAGUUCCUAAACUUUGUCUAGGUCACACCCCAAAAGGGAUGAGACUCCUGGGCCAUUAGCUCAGGUGGUUAGAGCGCACCCCUGAUAAGGGUGAGGUCCCUGGUUCAAGUCCAGGAUGGCCCAUUCGGUGUUGGGGGUUUAGCUCAGUUGGUAGAGCGCCUGCUUUGCAAGCAGGAUGUCAGGAGUUCGAGUCUCCUAACCUCCACUGACCGAAUUUAAUUCCCAUCUCCAAUUCAUUUGGAGUUGAGCUCGAUUGGAGUGUGAUUUAGAUUUGGCCGCUGGAUGACCCCAGCUUCCUGUCAUUCCAAGUUUUAGGUUAAAACCUUGAAUUUGGUUGAUAAGACGCUGGGCUCGGAUCAAAUGAUCAAGGAAUUGAUGAUUUGAUUUGAAGUUCUAGCAGAACCUUGACAACUGCAUAGGUGAGUCUGGAAAAAACAAAGCAUCUUACAGAUGCAUUGUUUUGAAUCUGAUCUUCUGAAAGGGAGAUUGGAUCUAGAACAAUGAAAAUUCUUUUGAGCAAGAGCCGAGACUCUUGGAUGUUCUUUGAUUCGUGUCGAGCGAAUUAGAGUUUGAUCUUGUUUUUAGCAAUAAAAACUUGAGAAUCUGCUUUCAACGGCGGUAAGCGUUCAGGAGGUUAAUU